GUGCUUGCAUAAGCAGCGUGCAUACUAAAAUUGGAACGAUGCGGUGGAUUAGCAUGGCCUCUGAACAAGGCUGACAUAUGAGUAUUUGAAACAUAUUUUUUUCUU